rnacentral:lncRNA from 10 species
CUGGGGUUCACGCCAUUCUCCUGCCUCAGCCUCCGGCGUAGCUGGGACUACAGGCGCCCGCCACCUCGCCCGGCUAAUUUUUUGUAUUUUUAGUAGAGAUGGGGUCUCACUGUGUUAGCCAGGAUGGUCUCGAUCUCCUGAUCUUGUGAUCCGCCCACCUCGGCCUCCCAAAGUGCUGGGAUUACAGGCGUGAGCCACCGCGCCGGGCCGAAUCUGAAUUUUUAUAUAAGAUAACAUAGAAGAUAGGGCCAAGGAAGCAAUCAGAUACGCAUUUGUCUCAGUACAUUGGUGUGAUGAAUCCUGCUGUCUGCAUCUGGAUGUUCAAGGUUUGGGAGGUGGAACAUUCCAGUGAGCAACAUGAGCGGCACACGGUUCAGAAAGGAAGGAUGAAACCUCCGCAGGAAAUUACAGUGCUGUCCUUGGGGGUGAGGACAACAAGAUCUGUUUGCCUAGAAUAGAAUUUUCUGGUGUUCUUGGAGGAGAAAAAUCCAAAAAACAAAGCAAAUUCUUACUUUCAUAUUUCUAAGAAGAAAACGGUUGCCUUAAGUGGGAUUUUUUUUUUUUUGAGACAGAGUUUAGCUCUUGUCGUCCAGGCUGGAGUGCAAUGGCGCGAUCUCCGCUCACUGCAACCCCUGCCUCCUAGGUUCAAGCGAUUCUCCUGCCUCAGCCUCCCAAGUAGCUGGGAUUACAGGCAUGCGCCACCAUGCCUGGCUAAUUUUGUAUUUUUAGGAGAGACGGGGUUUCUCCAUGUUGGUCAGGCUGGUCUCAAACUCCUGACCUCAGGUGAUCCGCCCACCUCAGCCUCCCAAAGUGCUGGGAUCACAGGCGUGAGCCACCGCGCCCGGCAGUGGGAUGAUUCUUAGAAGAAUUGCAACUGUGAGACCAGGCAGCAAGAGCAAAACUCCGUCUCAAAAAAAAAAAAAAAAGAAUUGCAACUGUGAGACCAGGCAGCAAGAGCAAAACUCCGUCUCAAAAAAAAAAAAAAAAAAGAAUUGCAACUGUGAGACCAGGCAGCAAGAGCAAAACUCCGUCUCAAAAAAAAAAAAAAAGAAUUGCAACUGUGAGACCAGGCAGCAAGAGCAAAACUCCGUCUCAAAAAAAAAAAAAAAAAGAAUUGCAACUGUGAGACCAGGCAGCAAGAGCAAAACUCCGUCUCAAAAAAAAAAAAAAAGAAUUGCAACUGUGAGACCAGGCAGCAAGAGCA